GUGACAUAAGCACCUGCUGGUGCCUGUUAUGUAGGACAGGUGAAAAGGGAAUGCGAGAGCACAAACGACUUUGUGUGAGCCGCAGCCGCCCUCGCGACCGUAAACCAAGCGCGUGUCCGCCACUGAUCAUGGAUUGGGAAGGCCUCACGCAGGGGAAAACCCACUUGGCCAGCCGGGAGACCUGCCAGCCGACUAACCAUCCG
rfam:Rhodobacteraceae bacterium HIMB11 HIMB11_contig3.9, whole genome shotgun sequence.